UUUUUUUAACACGAACUUCAUUUUUAUUACUUAGGAAACGUAGUCUGAAAACAGAGCAUUUGAGAUACACAAUGGGAUAAAGCUAUGAACUAUGUAUGAAGACAGAGCAUGUUUCUGGUUUUUCGCUAAAAUAUCAGCAGGUUGAUUUGUUGAUCUGUGUGACCACGUGAACUUGAUUGCGUCAAACUUAUUUCUCCAAACUU
rnacentral:sRNA from 1 species